AGUGACAAGAAUAAAGUACCCUGCAACUGUUCGUCCCUUUUUUAAUGAACUCAUAGCCUCGUUUGUAUGCUAAAUGAGGAAUCAAUACGAUCAGACCACGAAAAAUAUGUAUUCUGUAUAGAUUGGACUCGAAGAUAUUAGCAACCGAAGUGUUACCAUACGUUAUGCCACCAUCUAUAGAGGUAAUGGAAAAUAUUGAUUUCAAAUGCCUUUGCUAAAUAUGAGUGUGCAUUUUAAAACUUACUCAUUCUUGGAAUUUCAUCUCUGCCUUCAGAAACUCUGUGAGGAUUCCUGAACAACUUCUCCAUAGGGCUUUCUCUUCUGGGCCUGGUUAGUGUAGAAGCACCUCGACACCACGAAGAUUUUUUGUCUGCCUGUGGCAGAGAGGCAGGCGGUGUUGCUGGGAUGGCACAUCAUCGAAGCUGAGUGACAGCAAUCAGAACAACCACUGCUUGGCAUAUAUUAAUGAAAAUGUGUUCUGUGUCAGGCUUGUGCAGGGCUUUAUGUCCAAGCAUUAACUUACAUCACAUCCCAACAACAGGAGCUACAAAUCAGUGGACGUUUACAUAACAUGGGCACGCCUGCUUACACAACGUAGGCAUGGCUUUUACUUUGUUACCACUCAUGCAGGAGCACUGCUAUCCCUAACCAUGCUAAGCGUUCACAGCUGAAGCAGUAAUGGAGUCGGCACCGACAGUUCUGUGUGACGUAUGAGAACACUGAAGAAGCGCGGAGCCAGCAGGCAGUGAAGAGCAGCUCUGCCAAAUGCUUCAUGCAGUCACACUAUAAUUUCUGAAAGGCCAUUCCUGAGAGGAUGGAGGCACUGAGGAGAUGAUGGAUUCAUGCAGUGUUGUACAUCCCAUCUCAACGGUUUUUGAAUGAAACGUUUCCACACUUCCUUUCCAGGUGUUUUUGUGCUUCCUUGCUUUGAUACUCCAUUAUCUCUGUCUCUUUCUUCUCAUCAGAAAGUGUCAGAUUCUCCCGGAGUGCAGUGCCGUACAGUCAGGCCUGCACACCUGUGCAGAACCUGUUACAGCUCAGAAAAACAUUACAUCUUUUGGCUCUUAUUCUCCAGUUCCCAUUAUCUGUGAGCAUUUGGGGACCAAGGUGAGAAAUGGAGCCCUGCCUGUGGUGGCAGUGGGGGUUCCCCCCACAUGAAAAGAUGGACACCCCAGACCUAGGCAAAGUUGUGCCUUACAUGAACACAAACCCUGCCCCUCAAUGCCUCAGAUUUUCUUUACUACAUCGUCUUCCACUGCCUCAGUGAAAGGCUGAGUGAAAAAGCAGUGUUGUUGGGUCCUGAGCAGCCCGUGCCUACAGGAGGUGCAGUGGGGCUGUGUUUGGGAACUGCUGAGUGACGGCCUGAACCACUGAUUGAGCACAUGGGGAAAGGACCCGCUCAGCCCUGGGAGCACAGGUGAAGGCAAUUCAGCUGUGAGAUUGGCUGGGUUGGAGCCUGGCUGCACCUCUCUUAGACCUCAUUUAAGGGCUGACUGCCACUGGAGAAGGAUCUCUUCCUUGUUGAAGCUUUCCCCUAUGAACCUGGAAACUUCUGAUAUGGCAGGAAUUCUGGAGCAGCCAUCUGCACUGCUGAUUUUUGCCAGAAGAUCUGGGUUCACUUUUCACGUCCUGCAACAAUUUGUGCCCUUGACAACCUGCACUGUGGCCUCCAGGGUUCCCUCAUUGCCGGCUGAGAAAUCUGAAAAUGUACAUUGCAUUAUUUUGCCCCGUUUCUUUGGAGAAAGUUGAGGCUCCCAAGCAGAAUCAGACAGAACUCUGAAGCGUCUCUGCUGUUCAGGCAGUGGUGAAGUGUGGUGCAGUUUGGGUCACCAGGUCCUCCAUCCAUGGGCAAGCUGUGACCCCAGAAACCUGCUGCUUUGUUUGGUGUCUGUGAGGAGAAUGCUGCUUCUUCUGGGAAGAGUUGCUUUGGGAAUGACCAGGCCAGGGGGGCUGGAUGUGUGUGUUGCACCAGACCAGAAUAAGGAAAUGUUUUUUUACAACAAGCAGGUGACAUGCAAGCAGCACAGCGAACAGCAAUGCCUAAAGCAAAGCAACCCGAAGAGAAAAUCUGGGAAGGCUCAGCAACAAAGUAAUCUAGGCAUCUGAGAAGAAAACAGCAAGAGUUGUGAUUGGCUGACUGCAGUACAUCACCGCUGCUCUCAGGAGCCGGCAGCUUUCUCCUGGCAAGCUCUGCUCUGGGAUUUGCAGGGGAGACCUCAAAGACAGUAUUAAAAAACAAAAAACAACAAAAAAAACACAACGGCUUUUUGUCAAGGCUGAGAAAUGUGAUGCUUCGUUAAAGUGAAAUCAUGGAUCACUGAAAGAGCCGGAUGCCUCCAGAGAGCCACUUGGCCAGAGCAGAUGUGAGGCUGCUGGGGUGUGAAUGCAGCAGAAAUACCAGGAUAACCGUCUUGGGUGCCAAGUCCUUCAGAAACACGAGCUGCCAAGUUCUCUCUCCUACACAAUUUGGCAUUAAAAUAUCUUCAGG
ensembl:lncRNA